AAUAAUUAGUUUAAGAUUUCUAUAAAAAAAUUUUAAAAUUAUUUAAGUAAAGUUUAUUUAUUUUAAUAAUUA
rnacentral:tRNA from 1 species